AGAGUUUGAUCAUGGCUCAGGACGAACGCUGGCGGCGUGCUUAACACAUGCAAGUCGAACGGUUCUCGAAGUUCGAGGUUGGGUGUUCGAAGUUCGAACCGGGGUCAAACCUAACGGGUCAAAGAAAAAGGACCCAAGGGAUGCCCUAAUCGAACCACGAAUGUCGAACCUCGAACUUCGAGGAUAGUGGCGGACGGGUGAGUAACGCGUGGAUAACCUGCCCAUUAACCUGGGAUAACGCCUGGAAACGGGUGCUAAUACCGGAUACGCUCACUGGGUCGCAUGGUCUGGUGAGGAAAGGGUAUCCGUUAAUGGAUGGGUCCGCGUCCCAUUAGCUUGUUGGUAGGGUAACGGCCUACCAAGGCGACGAUGAGUAGCCGGCCUGAGAGGGCGACCGGCCACACUGGAACUGAGACACGGUCCAGACUCCUACGGGAGGCAGCAGUGGGGAAUCUUCCGCAAUGGGCGCAAGCCUGACGGAGCAACGCCGCGUGAGCGAAGAAGGCCUUCGGGUUGUAAAGCUCUGUCCAGGGGGAAGAAGAACGUGACGGUACCCCUGGAGGAAGCCCCGGCUAACUACGUGCCAGCAGCCGCGGUAAAACGUAGGGGGCGAGCGUUGUCCGGAAUUACUGGGCGUAAAGGGCGUGUAGGCGGCAAUGCAAGUCAGGAGUGAAACCCGCCGGCUCAACCGGCGGCCUGCUUCUGAAACUGCAUAGCUUGAGUGCAGGAGAGGGAAGUGGAAUUCCCAGUGUAGCGGUGAAAUGCGUAGAUAUUGGGAGGAACACCAGUGGCGAAAGCGGCUUCCUGGCCUGUAACUGACGCUGAGGCGCGAAAGCGUGGGGAGCAAACAGGAUUAGAUACCCUGGUAGUCCACGCCGUAAACGAUGGGUGCUAGGUGUUGGGGGUAUCGACCCCUCCAGUGCCGCAGUUAACGCAAUAAGCACCCCGCCUGGGGAGUACGGCCGCAAGGCUGAAACUCAAAGGAAUUGACGGGGGCCCGCACAAGCGGUGGAGCAUGUGGUUUAAUUCGACGCAACGCGAAGAACCUUACCAGGUCUUGACAUCGCCUGCUGGCUGUGGAAACACAGUUUUCAUCUUCGGAUGACAGGUAGACAGGUGGUGCAUGGUUGUCGUCAGCUCGUGUCGUGAGAUGUUGGGUUAAGUCCCGCAACGAGCGCAACCCCUAUCUUUAGUUGCCAGCAUCUCGGGUGGGCACUCUAAAGAGACUGCCGUUGACAAAACGGAGGAAGGUGGGGAUGACGUCAAAUCAUCAUGCCCUUUAUGAUCUGGGCUACACACGUGCUACAAUGGCCGGUACAGACGGAAGCGAAGCCGUGAGGUGAAGCGAAUCCGAGAAAGCCGGUCUAAGUUCGGAUUGCAGGCUGCAACUCGCCUGCAUGAAGUCGGAAUCGCUAGUAAUCGCAGGUCAGCAUACUGCGGUGAAUACGUUCCCGGGCCUUGUACACACCGCCCGUCACACCACGAAAGUCGGCAACACCCGAAGCCGGUGCGCUAACCUUUCAGGAAGCAGCCGUCGAAGGUGGGGUCGGUAAUUGGGGUGAAGUCGUAACAAGGUAACC
rnacentral:rRNA from 1 species